AUGAACGCUGGCGGCAUGCCUUACACAUGCAAGUCGAACGGCAGCACGGGGGCAACCUUGGUGGCGAGUGGCGAACGGGUGAGUAACGUAUCGGAACGUGCCCUGGAGUGGGGGAUAACUAGUCGAAAGACUAGCUAAUACCGCAUACGAUCUACGGAUGAAAGUGGGGGAUCGCAAGACCUCAUGCUCGUGGAGCGGCCGAUAUCUGAUUAGCUAGUUGGUGGGGUAAAGGCCUACCAAGGCAUCGAUCAGUAGCUGGUCUGAGAGGACGACCAGCCACACUGGGACUGAGACACGGCCCAGACUCCUACGGGAGGCAGCAGUGGGGAAUUUUGGACAAUGGGCGCAAGCCUGAUCCAGCAAUGCCGCGUGAGUGAAGAAGGCCUUCGGGUUGUAAAGCUCUUUUGUCAGGGAAGAAACGGUGGGAGCUAAUAUCUUCUGCUAAUGACGGUACCUGAAGAAUAAGCACCGGCUAACUACGUGCCAGCAGCCGCGGUAAUACGUAGGGUGCAAGCGUUAAUCGGAAUUACUGGGCGUAAAGCGUGCGCAGGCGGUUGUGCAAGACAGAUGUGAAAUCCCCGGGCUCAACCUGGGAAUUGCAUUUGUGACUGCACGGCUAGAGUGUGUCAG
rnacentral:rRNA from 1 species